CUAUAAGUUUCUGCUGGAAAUGGAAGGAGCAGAGGCAGGACCAGAGCCGGGGCUUUACCACUGCCUGCUGUGUGCCUGGGACACGCCCUCCCGCCUAGCUGUGCUGCAACAUCUACGCAUGCCCGCCCACCGCGAUGCCCAGGCCCAGAGGCGUCUGCAGCUGCUACAGAGCGGCCCAGCAGCCGAAGAAGGACUCUCAGCUCUCCAGAGUAUUCUGAGCUUCAGCCGUGGGCGGCUUCAGACUCCUGGGAAGGCUCCUGACACCCCCUUAGCUCAGCCACCCACCUCUGAGAAAGAUGCCCAGAACAGGACAGAACAACGGGCUUCCGAAGUGACAGAGGACAGAACUGGCCCUCCCAGAGACAGUGCCAACCAGAUCACGGUCAGAACUGGGG
rnacentral:lncRNA from 1 species